CCCGCCCCCUCCUUGGCAGGGUAGCUGCGCGUGCGCGGUGGCUGCGGAGAGCAACGCGUAAGGCUGACCGCUGGCGUUCUUGGUCCCCGACCGCCGGUACCCGGCAUCCUUCCUUAUCCGGGACAGCUUGGAGCCCUGGAUGACCUGAGGAGCCAGGAGUCACACUCAGACUGCACCGUGGAUCGUCCUUAUUCAGCUGUGAACGAAUCUACAGGAAAAACCUAACUGGAAUGUGCCAGGCUCUAGCCAGAGGAGACCCCAAAACUAUGAACUGCAACAGAUAACGAGCCGCUGGCUCCGACGCAUCUGCGACCAGUCUCGGGGUGCUUUAUCCACACGCUGGAUUCAUUCCAUGCCCACGUGUUCUCAGUAUGGAGACAACGCCAGCUAUGACCGCUGAUUUGAAGCAUGUCCUACCUUCUGCAGUUUCUCAGGUCCAUCGACCUCCAUCUCUCUUCUGUGGCUUCAUCAGAGAAGGAUGAGUGAGCAGUGCUGGUUCCCUGUCCUGUGCUGAGAUGACAUUGCAGGGGUACAGAGGAGACAAGCCACGGACAACCUGUAGCAACAGGAGGAGGAGAAUUAAUAGGAAGGUAAGACCAGAGACUUUCUCUCUGCCCCGCACCCCGCCUGCCAACCACGCUGGAUCUCAGACAUCUGACCCAGCUCAGCUCAUGGAAUGCUUCUUCUGAGACUUCAGGUCACAGAGAGUGAUGCAAGGACACAGAGGCAGGUGAGAGACCACCCCCGACAGCCGAGCCCAAGGAUGAGAGUCCAGCAGCAGCACCAUCCAGCAGAGUGUGGGACUUUGGCAUUGAGUGGCCAGGGGCAGCUGUGCCUGGCAGCAUCUUCAUCACACUGACCCUGAGGGGUGACCUUGGCUGUGAUACCCACUGCCUGGCCUCUUGUUCUGGUCAUCCUAUGAGCCUGGUUUGCCACCCUCUCUUCAAUUCUCAAGCUACCUGAUAUCUUUCCAAUAAAUUCCUUGGCUGCUCAAGUUAGCCAGAGCUUGUUUCUGUGACUUGUCACUAGGAACCCUGACAUUGACGUAGACUUACUGCCUCCCUUCAAAACAGAAAAUGUGGUGCAUUCCAAUUAAAUGCCAAC
rnacentral:lncRNA from 1 species